rnacentral:rRNA from 1 species
UACGGAGGGUGCGAACGUUGCUCGGAAUCAUUGGGCGUAAAGCGCGCGUAGGCGGCUUGGCAAGUUGGAUGUGAAAGCCCAGGGCUCAACCUUGGAAGUGCAUCCAAAACUGCCUGGCUUGAAUUGCGGAGGGGGCCAGAGAAUUCCCGGUGUAGAGGUGAAAUUCGUAGAUAUCGGGAGGAAUACCAGUGGCGAAGGCGCUGGCCUGGACGACAAUUGACGCUGAGGUGCGAAAGCGUGGGGAGCGAACGGG